AUACGGAGGAUGCGAGCGUUAUCCGGAUUUAUUGGGUUUAAAGGGUGCGCAGGCGGGCGAUUAAGUCAGCGGUGAAAGGCUCGGGCUCAACCGGAGCAGUGCCGUUGAUACUGGUUGUCUUGAAUGCGGUCAAGGCCGGCGGAAUGUGGCGUGUAGCGGUGAAAUGCAUAGAUAUGCCACAGAACACCGAUAGCGAAGGAAGCGGGCCGGGCCUGCAUUGACGCUGAGGCACGAAAGCGUGGGGAUCGAACAGGAUUAGAUACCCUGGUAGUCCACGCUGUAAGCGAUGGACACGCGUUGUCGGCGACAGACAGUCGGCGGCCAAGCGAAAGUGAUAAGUGUCACACCUGGGGAGUACGGUCGCAAGGCUGAAACUCAAAUGAAUUGACGGGG
rnacentral:rRNA from 1 species